AUAAUAACUAUACAAUACACUUAAAUUAAAAACCCAAACUUAUAGCUUUUAUAAAAUGCAAUGUUUCAAGUAAAUUUAAUGAUGAUUAUCACAGACCUGUACUGAGUAAUGAGGAAACAAAUUAUAUCACACUGAAUAAUAUUUACAAAUGAAACAUUACAUUUAAGGUAAAUUAUUUUGUACUAAUUUUCCAUUUAUUUUUGCCACAGGUACUAUGGAAACCUACAUGAAGUCCUGCUAUUCCACAUUAUUAUGUUUAAAAAGGUACCACCGAUGUAUAGCAUGGGUUGCGAUAACGGCUGAUCGAUUAGAUUAGGUGCAAUCUGUGUGCAACAUGCGUGUGGAGAUUCAGUAACAGUACAACUACAACUUUAGAAUGCAACUACAAUAGGUAAGAUAUAAGUCAAAUACAUGAAUAUGAACAACAAGUAAUUUACGUAAUUCUCUUAUACAUAUCUGCAAGAUCCACAUUUGCACGUAGUUAUUUCAUUGGACAUUCGUAUUUUUACUUUCUUUUUACUUUUCAUACCAAACAUGUUUCUAAAAUGAUGAACUAUCACAGACCUGUUCUGAAUUAUUUUGAGGUCAAUUUUUAUUGUUACUGAUUAAACUAAUCAUCAUAAAUUACAAUUUAUAAUUUUGUAUCCAAUUAAUUAAUUGAUUCUUUUCUAUUUCAGGUACUAUCAGAGUGGGGCGAUUCGAUUUGUGAUUAUUGUUAAAGUUUUAAUAUCUAAAUAAAUAACUGAAUAUACCA